AGUUGGUGGAGUGAUUUGUCUGGUUAAUUCCGAUAACGAACGAGACCUUAACCUGCUAAAUAGCCCAGUCGACUAUGGUUGGCUGCUGGCUUCUUAGAGGGACUAUUGGCGUUUAGCCAAUGGAAGUUUGAGGCAAUAACAGG
rnacentral:rRNA from 1 species